rnacentral:lncRNA from 1 species
CGGCGGAAGAAGUGGGCCAGCCCCACCCCCCAAGGCUAUAGCCCACCCGUGUUUGUGGCCUUUUUCCGCAGGACGAACUUGGCGCCCCGGCCUUCGGGUGGUUAUUUUUCUGCGCGGCUUUGCCUGCGGCCUAUUUUUUGCACACGGAGGCCCCUCGCAAAGUCUCGCGGCAUUCCGUGUCCGGCGGACAAAGUUGGCCAGCCCCACCCCCCAAGGCUACAGCCCACUCGUUUUUGUGGCCUUUUACCGCUGGACGACCUUGACGCCCCGGCCUUCGGGCGGUUAUUUUUGGGCGCGGUUUGCCCGCGGCCUAUUUUUGGCACACGGAGGCCCCUCGCAAAGUCUCGCCGCAUGCCGAGUCCGGCGGACGAAGUGGGCCAGCCCCACCCCCCAAGGCUAUAGCCCACCCGUUUUUGUGGCCUUUUACCGCUGGACGAACUUUGCGCCCCGGCCUUCGGGUGGUUAUUUUUAGGCGCGGUUUUGCCCGCGGAUUAUUUAUGGCACACGGAGAUCCCUCACAAAGUCUCACGGCAUUCCGAGUCCGGCGGACGAAGAUGGCCAGCCCCACCCCCCAAGGCUAUAGCCCACCCGUUUUUGUGGCCGUUUUCCGCCGGACGAACUUGGCGCCCCGGCCUUCGGGCGGUUAUUUUUGGGCGCGCCUUUGCCCGUGGCCUAUUUUUGGCACACGGAGGCCCGUCGCAAAGUCUCGCGGCAUUCUGAGUCCGGCGGACGAAGUCGGCCAGCCCCACCCCCCAAGUCUAUAGCCCACCCGUUUUUGUGGCCUUUUUCCGCUGGACGAACUUGGCGCCCCGGCCUUCGGGCAGUAAUUUUUGGGCGCGGCUUCGCCCGCGGCCUAUUUUUGUCACACGGAGGCCCCUUGCAAAGUCUCGCGGCAUGCCGAGUCCGGCGGACGAAGUGGGCCAGCCCCACCCCCCAAGAUUAUAGCCCACCCGUUUUUGUGGCCUUUUACCGAUGGACGAACUAGGCGCCCCGGCCUUCGGGGGGUUAUUUUUAGGCGCGGCUUUGCCCACGGAUUAUUUAUUGGACACGGAGAUCCCUCGCAAAGUCUCACGGCAUUCCGAGUCCGGCGGACGAAGUUGGCCAGCCCAACCCCCCAAGGUUAUAGCCC